ACUCACGCGGGAAUCUUACCGGGUCCGGACACACUGAGGAUUGACAGGUUCCGAGAGUUUUUGCUUCGGCAAUGCUCUCUUAAAUAUGAUAGUCCUUUCAUGAUUAUGUGAUAGGUGGUGCAUGGCCGUUCUUAGUUCGUGGAGUGAUCUGUCUGCUUAAUUGCGUUUCACUAAAGGCGUCAUAUCUGUUUUGUUGCGUGUUUGACCCCUCUUCGGAGCGCGUGUCUUCACGCACAAUUACUUUGGCGUCUGAAAGCAACGAACGUGACCGUAACCUCUUGUUGCCUUCUCUUCUCCUCGGAGAAUGCUGUUUGUUUUUGCAGGCAGUAUAUGGAGGCUUUUUUACUCAACAACUAGAGGGACCGCUGUUUCUUUCUUUAAACCAGAGGAAGGAUACGGCAAUAACAGGUCUGUGAUGCCCUUAGAUGUUCCGGGCUGCACACGUGAUACAUUGAUUACUUCAGUGAGUAUCUACGUUUUACUGCGUGGCAUUGCAAUGCAUAUUUCUUCGGAAGUGUGUUUUUGUUUGCCGCCUCAACCUGCUUCGAAAGCAUGCGGGUAACCAAUUAGAAGUAGUGAUUUCCUUUUUUAUAAGCACACUAAUAUGGGGCAUCAUCACCCGGCAUGCAUUGUUGUAUGUUUUGUGUGUGGUGUUUGCUUUUCCAUGUGCUUUUGUCAAUUCAUAGUGGGGAUAGACCA
rnacentral:rRNA from 1 species